rnacentral:lncRNA from 1 species
AGCACAUACAUAGUUAACUUUUUCAUAAAGAAAUAUUUGGUUUGUAAUAAUUUAGUAAUAUCGUAUAAAAUAUGUUAAGCGAGGAAAAUAUCGAUUUUCAGUUGUUAAAAAUUAGAAGAUACAACUUUGCUUGCAUUUAAGGCACUCCUUUUUCUUCUGAUAGCGCCUCCACAGAAGGGCAAGAAGAGUCCAAGAAUGGAUCUUGAUGCAAUUUUGGCUUUAUUUUAUAGAGAAAUGGAUGUACACCUCAGUCUUGAAAGCUCCCUUGAUUUAUUGAAGAAGGAGAAAGUUUUUCAACCGAUUUUAUUCAAGUGUUGCGGCACUCUAUUUAUAAUUCUAAUUAUAACUCUAAUUAUAAGUUGAUAAUACAGCUAUACGGUUGGAAGCCAUACCGAG